UACGGAGGGGGCUAGCGUUGUUCGGAAUUACUGGGCGUAAAGCGCACGUAGGCGGCUUUGUAAGUUAGAGGUGAAAGCCCGGGGCUCAACCCCGGAAUAGCCUUUAAGACUGCAUCGCUUGAACACGGGAGAGGUGAGUGGAAUUCCGAGUGUAGAGGUGAAAUUCGUAGAUAUUCGGAAGAACACCAGUGGCGAAGGCGACUUACUGGACACAUAUUGACGCUGAGGUGCGAAAGCGUGGGGAGCAAACAGG
rnacentral:rRNA from 1 species